rnacentral:rRNA from 1 species
GACGAACGCUGGCGGCGUGCUUAACACAUGCAAGUCGAACGGAAGGGCCCGGCUUUUGUGGGGCGCUCGAGUGCCGAACGGGUGUGUAUCACGCGAGUAACCUGUCCUUGUCUGUCGGAUAACAUUAGGAGACUGGGGCGAAUACCGGAGAGGAUCUCCUGCAGCGUGGGGGGGGUUGGAGAGUUUCGGCGGUGGGGGCUGGACUCGCGGCUUAUCAGCUUGUUGGUGGGGUAGGGGCGUACCAAGCCUUUGACGGGUAGGAGGCCUGAGAGGGUGACCGGGCACAUUGCGACUGCGAUACGGACCAGACUCGUACGGGAGGCAGCAGUGGGAAAUAUUGCACAAUAGGCGGAAGUCAGAUGUAGCAGCGCCGCGUGCGUGAUGAUGGGUUACGGGGUGUGAACAGCUUUCGCCUGUGACGAAGCGUGAGUGACGGUAAUGAGUCAGGAAGCCCCGGCUAACUACGUG